rnacentral:rRNA from 1 species
GGUUAAGCGACUAAGCGUACACGGUGGAUGCCCUGGCAGUCAGAGGCGAUGAAGGACGUGCUAAUCUGCGAUAAGCGUCGGUAAGGUGAUAUGAACCGUUAUAACCGGCGAUUUCCGAAUGGGGAAACCCAGUGUGAUUCGUCACACUAUCAUUAACUGAAUCCAUAGGUUAAUGAGGCGAACCGGGGGAACUGAAACAUCUAAGUACCCCGAGGAAAAGAAAUCAACCGAGAUUCCCCCAGUAGCGGCGAGCGAACGGGGAGCAGCCCAGAGCCUGAAUCAGUGUGUGUGUUAGUGGAAGCGUCUGGAAAGGCGCGCGAUACAGGGUGACAGCCCCGUACACAAAAAUGCACAUGCUGUGAGCUCGAUGAGUAGGGCGGGACACGUGGUAUCCUGUCUGAAUAUGGGGGGACCAUCCUCCAAGGCUAAAUACUCCUGACUGACCGAUAGUGAACCAGUACCGUGAGGGAAAGGCGAAAAGAACCCCGGCGAGGGGAGUGAAAAAGAACCUGAAACCGUGUACGUACAAGCAGUGGGAGCACGCUUAGGCGUGUGACUGCGUACCUUUUGUAUAAUGGGUCAGCGACUUAUAUUCUGUAGCAAGGUUAACCGAAUAGGGGAGCCGAAGGGAAACCGAGUCUUAACUGGGCGUUAAGUUGCAGGGUAUAGACCCGAAACCCGGUGAUCUAGCCAUGGGCAGGUUGAAGGUUGGGUAACACUAACUGGAGGACCGAACCGACUAAUGUUGAAAAAUUAGCGGAUGACUUGUGGCUGGGGGUGAAAGGCCAAUCAAACCGGGAGAUAGCUGGUUCUCCCCGAAAGCUAUUUAGGUAGCGCCUCGUGAAUUCAUCUCCGGGGGUAGAGCACUGUUUCGGCAAGGGGGUCAUCCCGACUUACCAACCCGAUGCAAACUGCGAAUACCGGAGAAUGUUAUCACGGGAGACACACGGCGGGUGCUAACGUCCGUCGUGAAGAGGGAAACAACCCAGACCGCCAGCUAAGGUCCCAAAGUCAUGGUUAAGUGGGAAACGAUGUGGGAAGGCCCAGACAGCCAGGAUGUUGGCUUAGAAGCAGCCAUCAUUUAAAGAAAGCGUAAUAGCUCACUGGUCGAGUCGGCCUGCGCGGAAGAUGUAACGGGGCUAAACCAUGCACCGAAGCUGCGGCAGCGACGCUUAUGCGUUGUUGGGUAGGGGAGCGUUCUGUAAGCCUGUGAAGGUGUACUGUGAGGUAUGCUGGAGGUAUCAGAAGUG